rnacentral:rRNA from 1 species
GAAUAUUGGACAAUGGGCGCAAGCCUGAUCCAGCCAUACCGCGUGGGUGAAGAAGGCCCUCGGGUUGUAAAGCCCUUUUGUGGGGAAAGAAAAGCAGUCGGCUAAUACCCGGUUGUUCUGACGGUACCCAAAGAAUAAGCACCGGUUCACCUCGUGCCAGCAGCCGCGGUAAUACGAGGGGUGCAAGGGUUACUCGGAAUUACUGGGCGUAAAGCGUGCGUAGGUGGUUGUUUAAGUCUGUUGUGAAAGCCCUGGGCUUAACCUGGGAAUGGCAGUGGAUACUGGGCGACUAGAGUGUGGUAGAGGGGAGUGGAAUUCCCGGUGUAGCAGUGAAAUGCGUAGAGAUCGGGAGGAACAUCCAUGGCGAAGGCAGCUACCUGGACCAACACUGACACUGAGGCACGAAAGCGUGGGGAGCAAACAG